rnacentral:rRNA from 1 species
UACGUAGGGUGCAAGCGUUGUCCGGAAUUAUUGGGCGUAAAGAGCUCGUAGGCGGUUUGUCGCGUCUGCUGUGAAAACUCAGGGCUUAACCCUGAGCCUGCAGUGGGUACGGGCAGACUAGAGUGUGGUAGGGGAAAUCGGAAUUCCUGGUGUAGCGGUGGAAUGCGCAGAUAUCAGGAGGAACACCGGUGGCGAAGGCGGAUCUCUGGGCCAUAACUGACGCUGAGGAGCGAAAGCAUGGGGAGCGAACAGG